rnacentral:lncRNA from 1 species
GCUCUCUCUUCCACACCUUUUGUCCAACCGCCAUCAGUUUUAGAAAAUCCCAUGUGAUGCAAUGUGUGGCGAUUGAUAGUGUCAGAGUGGGAUAGUCUCGCUACAGCCUCCCCCUCACAACUAACUCCGAACCUCCUAAAAACUAAGGUGAGAGCCAUACCAAAAGGCAAGUGUGCCUUGGACCUGUUCAAGGUCUCUCUCAUGGCCUCAAACAUCAAUGCAGGGAGGUUCAGGGGGAUUUGUGUGAUCACAUGGUACAUAAUACAAAUG